UGGCGGUGACGUCACACAGGUCCGGCCCGCAGACCCCCCUUCGGGGCUCGGCGACGGUCACUCUGGGAACAAAAUGGACAUGCUAUUCCGAAGAACUUCCUGGUCUGAUGGAUUCUGAUACAAGCCCAGUUGAUUUGGAAAGGUUGACUCACAAAUACAAGAACAGCGUCUCUCGGCAAGGCUCCCCUCUUGGAAGCUGGCUUUCUGGACUUCACCUCCACUUUCCAUUUGCAGCCCCCCACUCCUGGAUGCUCCUGGAUUCCAGGGCCUGGCGCGUUCCUUCCCACGAGGAUUCUUGAGGAAAACAAGUGACAUGAAAGUCCACGGAGGUAGGUUCACGGUCUCAAGCUCUGGGUGUUUUUGUUUUGUUUUUUUU